rnacentral:rRNA from 1 species
AGUGAACGCUGGCGGUAGGCCUAACACAUGCAAGUCGAACGGCAGCACAGUAAGAGCUUGCUCUUACGGGUGGCGAGUGGCGGACGGGUGAGGAAUACAUCGGAAUCUACUUUUUCGUGGGGGAUAACGUAGGGAAACUUACGCUAAUACCGCAUACGACCUACGGGUGAAAGCAGGGGAUCUUCGGACCUUGCGCGAUUGAAUGAGCCGAUGUCGGAUUAGCUAGUUGGCGGGGUAAAGGCCCACCAAGGCGACGAUCCGUAGCUGGUCUGAGAGGAUGAUCAGCCACACUGGAACUGGGACACGGUCCAGACUCCUACGGGAGGCAGCAGUGGGGAAUAUUGGACAAUGGGAGCAAGCCUGAUCCAGCCAUACCGCGUGGGUGAAGAAGGCCUUCGGGUUGUAAAGCCCUUUUGUUGGGAAAGAAAAGCAGCAGGUUAAUACCCCGCUGUUCUGACGGUACCCAAAGAAUAAGCACCGGCUAACUUCGUG